rnacentral:rRNA from 1 species
UGGGGAAUUUUGGACAAUGGGGGAAACCCUGAUCCAGCCAUCCCGCGUGUGCGAUGAAGGCCUUCGGGUUGUAAAGCACUUUUGGCAGGAAAGAAACGUCGCGGGUUAAUACCCCGCGAAACUGACGGUACCUGCAGAAUAAGCACCGGCUAACUACGUGCCAGCAGCCGCGGUAAUACGUAGGGUGCAAGCGUUAAUCGGAAUUACUGGGCGUAAAGCGUGCGCAGGCGGUUCGGAAAGAAAGAUGUGAAAUCCCAGAGCUUAACUUUGGAACUGCAUUUUUUAACUACCGGGCUAGAGUGUGUCAGAGGGAGGUGGAAUUCCGCGUGUAGCAGUGAAAUGCGUAGAUAUGCGGAGGAACACCGAUGGCGAAGGCAGCCUCCUGGGAUAACACUGACGCUCAUGCACGAAAGCGUGGGGAGCAAACAGGAUUAGAUACCCUGGUAGUCCACGCCCUAAACGAUGUCAACUAGCUGUUGGGGCCUUCGGGCCUUGGUAGCGCAGCUAACGCGUGAAGUUGACCGCCUGGGGAGUACGGUCGCAAGAUUAAAACUCAAAUGAA